rnacentral:rRNA from 1 species
AUAUCAGUCAUGCAUAGCAUAUCAAUAAGCGGAGGAAAAGAAACUAACAAGGAUUCCCUUAGUAACGGCGAGUGAAGCGGGAAGAGCUCAAAUUUGAAAUCUUCAAGGUUUUACCUUGACGAAUUGUAGUUUAAAGAAGUGUUUUCUGUUGAAGUUUUGGUAAAAGUUCUUUGGAAUAGGACAUCAUAGAGGGUGAGAAUCCCGUAUUUGACCAUUACUUUCAGCUUUGUGAUACACUUUCAAAGAGUCGGAUUGUUUGGGAAUGCAGUCCAAAAUGGGUGGUAAAUUUCAUCUAAAGCUAAAUAUUGGCGAGAGACCGAUAGCGAACAAGUACCGUGAGGGAAAGAUGAAAAGAACUUUGAAAAGAGAGUUAAACAGUACGUGAAAUUGUCAGAAGGGAAGCGUUUGACACCAGUGUUGUUUUCUCGAAAAUCAAUUAAAAAGAGUUGGAUUUUGUGUUGUAUUGACUUUAUCAGCUUUCUUCACUCUUUUCCAGCUUUUUUUAAUGCACUUUUCGUUUAACAAGUCAACAUCAGUUUCUUUUGUUGUAAAAAGGUCAUUGGAAGGUGGCUUUCUCUUCGGAGAAAGUGUUUAUAGCCUUUGACUCAUGCAAUCGGAGAGACUGAGGUCUGCAGCGUAGAUCCUUCGGGGUUAGAUACAUUUGUGCUAAGUUAUAGCUUUUCAUAGACAACUUGUUGACUAUGUCUAGUCCUGUAGCUUACUCGCUUAUGCUAUUUUACCUACGCUUAGGAUGUUGAACUCUAUCACACACA